rnacentral:rRNA from 1 species
GACGAACGCUGGCGGCGUGCCUAAUACAUGCAAGUAGAACGCUGAAGGAGGAGCUUGCUUCUCUGGAUGAGUUGCGAACGGGUGAGUAACGCGUAGGUAACCUGCCUGGUAGCGGGGGAUAACUAUUGGAAACGAUAGCUAAUACCGCAUAAGAGUAGAUGUUGCAUGACAUUUGCUUAAAAGGUGCAAUUGCAUCACUACCAGAUGGACCUGCGUUGUAUUAGCUAGUUGGUGGGGUAACGGCUCACCAAGGCGACGAUACAUAGCCGACCUGAGAGGGGGAUCGGCCACACUGGGACUGCGACACGGCCCAGACUCCUACGGGAGGCAGCAGUAGGGAAGCUUCGGCAAUGGACGGAAGUCUGACCGAGCAACGCCGCGUGAGUGAAGAAGGUUUUCGGAUCGUAAAGCUCGGUUGUAAGAGAAGAACGAGUGUGAGAGUGGAAAGUUCACACUGUGACGGUAUCUUACCAGAAAGGGACGGCUAACUACGUG